rnacentral:rRNA from 1 species
GAUGAACGCUGGCGGCGUGCCUAAUACAUGCAAGUCGAGCGAACAGACGAGGAGCUUGCUCCUCUGACGUUAGCGGCGGACGGGUGAGUAACACGUGGAUAACCUACCUAUAAGACUGGGAUAACUUCGGGAAACCGGAGCUAAUACCGGAUAAUAUAUUGAACCGCAUGGUUCAAUAGUGAAAGACGGUUUUGCUGUCACUUAUAGAUGGAUCCGCGCCGCAUUAGCUAGUUGGUAAGGUAACGGCUUACCAAGGCAACGAUGCGUAGCCGACCUGAGAGGGUGAUCGGCCACACUGGAACGGAGACACGGUCCAGACUCCUACGGGAGGCAGCAGUAGGGAAUCUUCCGCAAUGGGCGAAAGCUUGACGGAGCAACGCGGCGUGAGUGAUGAAGGUCUUCGGAUCGUAAAACUCUGUUAUGAGGGAAGAACAAAUGUGUAAGUAACUAUGCACGUCUUGACGGUACCUAAGCAGAAAGCCACGGCUAACUACGU